AUUGCUUCUCUGCCUUUUGGGCUGAGAUCAAGUGUAGCAUCUAUUCUCAUCAAUUUAACAUCCGAUAUGUCCCCUUGCUGGGGAACAUAUGUUAAUUGGAUUUUUGAGCAUGUGGGCCGAUUUCGAAGCUUGUUUCCGUCGUCCUAUGCUUUGACCCGAUAUGGCAGUAUUUUCAGGUACAAAAAAAAUAUC